rnacentral:rRNA from 1 species
UACAGAGGUCUCAAGCGUUGUUCGGAUUCAUUGGGCGUAAAGGGUGCGUAGGUGGCGCGGUAAGUCGGAUGUGAAAUCUCGGGGCUUAACUCCGAAACUGCAUUCGAUACUGCCGUGCUUGAGGACUGGAGAGGAGACUGGAAUUUACGGUGUAGCGGUGAAAUGCGUAGAUAUCGUAAGGAAGACCAGUGGCGAAGGCGGGUCUCUGGACAGUUCCUGACGCUGAGGCACGAAGGCCAGGGGAGCAAACGGG